rnacentral:piRNA from 1 species
AUGUGCAGCAAUGUAACUAUGAAUCUUUUG